AUCUAGCUGAUGAGUCCCAAAGAGGACGAAAUGCGCGUCUUGUAU
rfam:Schistosoma margrebowiei strain Zambia genome assembly, scaffold: SMRZ_contig0012782